rnacentral:rRNA from 1 species
UACAGAGGUCUCAAGCGUUGUUCGGAUUCAUUGGGCGUAAAGGGUGUGUAGGUGGCGCGCUAAGUCGGGUGUGAAAUUUCGGAGCUUAACUCCGAAAACUGCAUUCGAUACUGGCGUGCUUGAGGACUGGAGAGGAGACUGGAAUUUACGGUGUAGCAGUGAAAUGCGUAGAUAUCGUAAGGAAGACCAGUGGCGAAGGCGGGUCUCUGGACAGUUCCUGACACUGAGACACGAAGGCCCAGGGGGAGCAAAACGGGG